ACUCCUACGGGAGGCAGCAGUGGGGAAUAUUGCACAAUGGGCGCAAGCCUGAUGCAGCCAUGCCGCGUGUAUGAAGAAGGCCUUCGGGUUGUAAAGUACUUUCAGCGGGGAGGAAGGCGAUAAGGUUAAUAACCUUGUUGAUUGACGUUACCCGCAGAAGAAGCACCGGCUAACUCCGUGCCAGCAGCCGCGGUAAUACGGAGGGUGCAAGCGUUAAUCGGAAUUACUGGGCGUAAAGCGCACGCAGGCGGUCUGUCAAGUCGGAUGUGAAAUCCCCGGGCUCAACCUGGGAACUGCAUUCGAAACUGGCAGGCUAGAGUCUUGUAGAGGGGGGUAGAAUUCCAGGUGUAGCGGUGAAAUGCGUAGAGAUCUGGAGGAAUACCGGUGGCGAAGGCGGCCCCCUGGACAAAGACUGACGCUCAGGUGCGAAAGCGUGGGGAGCAAACAGGAUUAGAAACCCGAGUAGUCCCAUGAU
rnacentral:rRNA from 1 species